AAUUACUACAGGAUUAUUACGGUUCUCCUUCCGUCUACAUUAUACGUGAAGUUUAUAAAGUUACUCUUCAAGAUUGGAAGACGAAGAGACUGGAACCAGAUCGGGUAUUUGCGCAUUGCAUUUAUAUCAUCCACCUUGUCGACCCUAUCAAAAUCUAAAACAAAAAGCUCUGGGAUACCAUUUACCGAGAUUUAACCAAAGUCUUGAAUGAUAAACGAUGUAGUCCGACAACAUGGUGCAAAACCAACUCAGUACUGAUCUUCGGAAAUUUGUUGACCGCUCUUCGUUUCGUAUGCGCCCACUUGGUGAAAUCAUUUAACAGUCGGGCAUACUAUCCAGCCUCCAAGUUAUUUGCCAUAUCAGAAACUGUAGUUCAAAUCCUACGACUUUUAGUGUCAUCCCCAGGUCCGAGGAACAAAGGAAACAUUUAAAAGAAACACUCAAGGCUUAAUUCGCAACAUCUAUGUGUGGGAUGACCCACAAUUCAACCUCAUUCUGAAAGUAUCUACGAACUUUCAUCCGGUCGACAUCAACAGCAGCAACUUAGAAUUGAUACAAUUGUUGUUGAGGCCGGAAGGUAAUCCCAAUGUAGUCGACUUUAACAACUCUACACCACUUCACGUACUGGCGACUAAAGAAUCAGGAAUUUGCCAAAGAUGGCGUUAUUGCAUUUCAGAGCAACACAAAAGAAGGUUUCAAACUUUCACCAAUACGGUUGAAGUGUUUAUGGACAACACAACACAUCACGAAUUCCAUGAUUAUCCGAACCGUAAAGGUCAACUUGCAUUAAAGCUCUUAUUGAGUCAGAUGCAGUACCCUGACCCUGGGUUACAACUUUUGCUAAACUCCGCCCCACGAAAAGUUCCUUCUUUAACCUGAUUAGCUGCUUCAAUUGUGCGAAAGCAUAACAUUGGUUACGACGACAUUCCUAAUGAUCUUCAUACUUUCAUCAAACAACAUUAGUCAAAGUUGGAUUGGGAGAAAUUUUGAAUUGAGAAAUUUAACAUUUUUCGAUAUUUUG